rnacentral:lncRNA from 1 species
GAGCGCCAAGGGCCCCAGGAGGAGGAAGAGGAAGGUGAAGGUGAAGAAGAAGGGCUUGGGGCAGGCAGGCCCAGCCGAGGAGCCGGAGGGGCCGGGAGCAGGGGCUGCCGGGGGGCUGCUGCUCCCCAACAGGGUCGGGCAGGAGGAGCCCUCAGCCAUCGGCAUGGGCACCCCGCACCCAGCACAGGGUAUGAAAAAGAAAAAAAAGAAGAAAAUCAAGAAUAAAAUCAAGUCACGGGAACCAUCUCUGGAGCAGCAGCGUGAGGAGGUCUCAAGCACCUUUGACUUGUACCGCCGGGCCAUGCUGGCUCUGAAGAUGAGGCAGGAGCAGAGGAAGCAGCCGUCGGCCAUCGCCCCCUGAGCAGGGAGGCACCGAGCACGGGCUGUGGUCCCGAGGAGCUGCAGGGCAGGGCAGAGCUGUGGGUGCUUGGCCAGGGCUGGCAGAGCUGGGAAAGGGGUCUGGGCCAUCAACUACAUCCUUGUCCUCUGAGUGGCUGAAAACCAGAGAUCCACAGGGGUGAACCAGAAGUCCCUUUGUAAAACGCCUCUGGCAACAAACCCGAGUGAAAAGGGAACAGCCGGCCCCUUGCUGCCCCCUGUUAGUGUUCCCUGGAAGACUCCGACUAAACGCGCAUUGGUCCGUGUGGAGAGGCAGCUCCGAGCGACCACCAGGGGGAAAGCUUGUCCCUUGUAUUGCCCGGUGCCGGGGAAGGCUGUGCUCACAGGUGAGGGCUGACCCGGCACUCCCCGCCUGCUGCCCGGAACG